rnacentral:lncRNA from 1 species
AGUGGUGCCAGGUCCAAGACUGCGAUCCGAACAGGCAGAAAACUGGGGCCGCAGAAGGAUAUUGAGGAUAUUGAGAUACCUGGUGAAAGAAUGAGACCAUGCUGGAUUCUAGGAUUGAAUAUCUCCAAAACUCAUUCUCUGCAUGACUUCUUCUGCAAUAUUCUGAAUAUUUCGCUUUCUCAGGACUGAAAAGCCUGCCAGGAGGCAAGAGAGGAGACAACGAGAUAAAAGUCUGGUCACUUCUUCCCAAGGAUGGCUUCACAAAGGUGGUGGCUGAAGCCCCCUUCAGGCCAGUUCAGGAGCUACUUCACUCUGCUUUACUCAUAAAUAAUUUCAACUCCCUGAAGCUCCUUAAAGUAAAGGGACAAAGACAGCCAACGCCCUUAAUAGAGCCAGCUGUGUGGUCAACGACACUAUAUCAAAUGCAAGUUGAUCCUGAGAAAUCGUCUGUGGGUAGCUCUUUCUCCCCAUCUCCUCAAUUAAAAAAUU